rnacentral:tRNA from 1 species
AUUUAUAUAGUUUAAUUUUAAAACUUUACAAUUUCAAUGUAAAAAUAAUUAAUCUCAUCAAUAAUUUAUAAAUA